UGUCAUCAAUUCAAUUGUCGAUGGCGGAGCCACGACUUGUAAUCAAGCCACGAUCAUGUGAGGCAGCUGUGUCGUCCAAUGCAUAAAUAUAUGUUGGAAACGAAGUGGUGUUGUCGCACAUAAAGAUCUCCUCAUUUCGGACUGAUCUUGCCUUGUGGCUCAUGCGCUAUAGAUCCCCUUUUGGAUAGUUGACUUCCCUCCUAACCGUUGCCUGGUCUUCCACAGCUGGCAAAUCUGUCAUGUGUGACUUACUUACGAUGUGCCAAUGUGGCACGAUGAGUGUCAUCUCUCGAACGGAUCGCUUUACGGUUUUAGCUGCCAGGACUAGUCAAGAGGUACACGUAUAAGGUGUCAGUGUUAGUAAAAGAUCUAAAGGUUCCCAGGAACAAUCGUACCGCGCCACUGGGUGUUCUGAGACGCGAUGGCUGGAUGGUAAAGGACACUACAGUUAAAAGGCAAAACUCCGAAGUAGCUAGCUCAAGACAAGAGCCCCGUUGUACUCCAAGAGACCUCACAGAAGUCGCCUCUGCUCCAUGUUAGGACGGGCCAGUGUCAUAUCUUUGACACGUUUGCAUAUGCAGCCACGCCUAUGACGCCAACGACACGCUAAGCAAUAGUCCCGCUAUUUGCCAGGCCUAUUUAUGGUAUACGUUUUUGAGUGUCACGCCGCUGUGUCACUUAACACACCUCAACCACGCGUUUUCAGCCGGCCUGCACGCCGCCACUGCGGGCGUUGCCUGCCACCGGCUGAUUCUCCCUAGUACUGAUAUUAGUAAUAGCGGCAACAGUAUCAAAGAUAGUCGCUG